CGGUUGGACGAACUGCUCGUGGGAUCGGCGAGGAGGAGCAGGCCGAACGACUACUCGGCAUCGACACGCAUCAUCGACUCUACUUCCGCUACGGGUCUGCGCGUCUAGUGGUAAUCUCGUGAUCCAUUAUCAACAGCAUUGAUCCGGGCGGAAUCGGUAUUUUUUUUUAUUUUGUGCUAGCAUAGCCUACUGCGUUCCCCAAUAGUGGUAUCAGAGCCGAUGCUGUCUCUUUUGGAUUCGGAUUACGUGCAUAAGUGUUAUGCGAUUAGUAGUAGAUGUGAUCUAUUGCUAUCUUGGUGGUCAAUCUAAGUGUUAGAUCGGUUUUGUACUCAAUCGAUUGAUCGAUUAUACUCGGGGAUCAUGGAUAUUCGAUUCUGAUAAUCGUAAUGCUGAUGGUCGUGACACAAAAUACUCCUACUGGUCGGAUUUCCGCCAUCGGAGUAUACAGUGAAACGUAAAUCCAGAUGCGAUAUUGUUGAAGGUCGUGACACAACAUACUCCUACCGGUCGGAUUUCCGCCAUCGGAAU
rnacentral:lncRNA from 1 species